ACCUGACGGAGUGACGCCGCGUGGGGGACGAAGGCCUUCGGGUUGUAAACCCCUGUCAGAGGGAAAGAAGGGUGUCGGAGUGAUAACCUCCGGCACUUGACGGUACCUUCAGAGGAAGCCCCGGCCAACUCUGUGCCAGCAGCCGCGGUAAGACAGAGGGGGCAAGCGUUGCUCGGAAUCACUGGGCGUAAAGGGCGCGUAGGCGGGAGGGCAAGUCAGUCGUGAAAUCCUCCGGCUCAACCGGAGAACGUCGGCUGAUACUGCCUUUCUUGAGGGAUGCAGAGGAGACUGGAAUUCCCGGUGUAGCGGUGAAAUGUGUAGAGAUCGGGAGGAACACCGGUGGCGAAGGCGGGUCUCUGGGCAUCUCCUGACGCUGAGGCGCGAAAGCGUGGGGAGCAAACGGGAUUAGAUACCCCGGUAGUCCACGCUGUAAACGAUGACGACUAGGUGUGGGGGGGUUCAGUCCUCUCCGUGCCGCAGCUAACGCAUUAAGUCGUCCGCCUGGGGAGUACGGCCGCAAGGUUG
rnacentral:rRNA from 1 species